UCUAGGAAACGAACCGGACAUGAUGGCAGUCACGAAGGAAAGCACCAAGACAGCGGUGCGGCUUUUGGUUUCCUUGCUCGUCGUUGGCCAGAAAGAGGGCUGAGCGAGGUAUCCGGCGAUUGUAGAUCACGAGGAGGAAGAAUCGUGUCUUCGGGGUCGACGAGACCGAAGGGGAGGAAGCAAGGAGCAGCGAGGCGACAUUGAUCUCGGAGGGGGGGGGGGGUUGCAGCGAGGUGCUUCGCGGCUGCUUGCUCGGUUCCAGCAUCGAGGUGCGAAGGGCAAUCAGCGACCACUGGGUUUUUUUGGCAGUAACCGAACGAAAAAUGGGCUGCAAUCGUGGCUAACAGCUCCGGAACAAAAAAAAAAAAAAAAAAAAAAACCGAAUGGGAAGAUUUGUCUAGCAGGGAAGGUAUGAAACAAAGGCAUAGGUUGUUGAUUUUGUUUUCGUGGGAGGCAGCAGCAACUCUGGUUGCUGAUGUGUUGUUUUUCUCUCUUUUUUUUUCUCUUAUUUAUUUUUUAUUUUUUUUCUCUUUUGUUCUUGUUUUGACAUAAAUCGAUGAAAGGUAAGAGGAUUGUUGUGUUUGGUGUUUGAUUUUUGACUGGGAAGUGAAGGAGAAGAAGGGCGUUGAGUGGGGAAGAAGGUAAACGUGACUGAAGCAACACUUUAGAUGAUCUUUAUUUGAUUGUAAUUGUAUAGAUUGUGGGUUGUAUUUAAUAGUUUAAUUGGUUAAAGGAUGUGUGCAAGCAGUCUUCAAUUUGAUAGUCAAAGACUUGCAAGUUACUUGGCUGUCAAAUUCUAUGUAUUUGGUAGUUUAAAAGAAUGAAUUUGGUGGUAUAAUGUUGUAUAUUCAUGCUACAUACCUAUAUGUAUUUAUUUAGGACUUUAUAAACAA